rnacentral:rRNA from 1 species
GUACACUCCUACGGGAGGCAGCAGUGGGGAAUUUUGGACAAUGGGCGAAAGCCUGAUCCAGCCAUGCCGCGUGCAGGAUGAAGGCCUUCGGGUUGUAAACUGCUUUUGUACGGAACGAAACGGCCUUUUCUAAUAAAGAGGGCUAAUGACGGUACCGUAAGAAUAAGCACCGGCUAACUACGUGCCAGCAGCCGCGGUAAUACGUAGGGUGCAAGCGUUAAUCGGAAUUACUGGGCGUAAAGCGUGCGCAGGCGGUUAUGUAAGACAGUUGUGAAAUCCCCGGGCUCAACCUGGGAACUGCAUCUGUGACGGCAUAGCUAGAGUACGGUAGAGGGGGAUGGAAUUCCGCGUGUAGCAGUGAAAUGCGGAGAUAUGCGGAGGAACACCGAUGGCGAAGGCAAUCCCCUGGACCUGUACUGACGCUCAUGCACGAAAGCGUGGGGAGCAAACAGGAUUAGAUACCCCUGUAGUCCC